UAGGCUCUUAUUUUAGGCAUGGUGUAUGU
rnacentral:piRNA from 1 species